UGUCCUUUCGUUUCCACUCCCAUCCCCUGCCUGUACCAUACAAAUCCCCAUUACAACCUGGAACCCUAGCGAAGUUUAAUUUACGCUCUCUCCAAUCUCACUUUUUCUCUCGAUCUGGAACCCUACCCUCUCCAUUGGGAUGACGAAUACUGGAGAUGUAGAACACCGAUUUGAAGAAACCCUAACCGUUUUUGUGGAAAUAGAAAGAGGCUGGGAUGUGUGAUACUGAUAGUUGAUAGUGAAUUAAUCAGAUGAAAAUGGAAUUGUUGUGCAGGAAAUAAACAUGUUUCAACGUGUUGAUUGAAGGGUUAUAAAUGAACAAGAUUCAUAUCAUCAUCCUCUCCUUCAUCCCCUCAAAUUCUCAGCAGCAACAAAUAUGAAGAUUAUUUGAAUCCACGGUCUCGUAACGUCGGUGCUUGUGUUGUUACUUUCACUGCUGGUGGACUUGGUGUUCUCAACGCCAUUGCGGGUGCUUACUGAGCUUCGUUGUUUUUAGACUGUUACUUGUUAUUAGAUGAUGAAGAGAACAUGGGGAAUAUGACACCAACACAUCAUCUUCAGUUGUAAAUGUAGGGUUCGCUUCAAGUACAGCAAUUCAACCAGUUGGCAUCACAUAACUGUCAUGUUAGGCCAUCCAUAGUGGUCAUGUGAAUGUGAAAUAGUAGUUCAGCCACAUAGGCAGGAGGGCGCAUUAACUACUGGGAGGAUAUUGGAACGAUCAAGUCUUUUCAUAGCGUAAUAGCGCUCUUACAAAUGAGGUACACAAGUUUCUUUUUUAUGAUCCGCCACCAACCAAGAUUGAAAAUUACAAGGUAAAGUCAUACUCAAAAUCCAAACCUUGCAGUCGUUGCCGUAAUCCUACAAAUGACUUCGUACUUAUCCUAGCAAAUCCAGAUUUGAAUACGAAUUUCAGCAACGUCAUAUGAGAGGUCACCAUUGCACCCUUUAGUAGCAUUCAUGAGGACUCUUCCUGAUCAAUGUUAUGGGACAUUUCCGUAUAUCACGAGCUUCCUUAUGCGUAGGUUACUAUUUG